ACGAAUUUCAGGGGUUGUGCUGGUUCUUACAAGUGCACACCUCUUAAUUCCAUUCACACCCAACGUGCACAUUAAGAGACGUAUUUCCCCCGUUUACGUGCCUUUAUUGGCUUGGGAUUUCGUCUGUUUCACACACUCUUAUUGUAUUAGAAUGUAAUCUAGCGGAAACGCUAAAAACAUAAUA
rnacentral:misc_RNA from 1 species